CUCAUGCCACCAUGAACAGACCAAUCUUGUCUAGUUUUGGAAUCUAAGUAAAGUCAGACCUGGUUAGUACGCUGAUGAGAGAUCAGCAAGAAAUACCAGGUAGAGU
rnacentral:rRNA from 1 species